GAGGGUACAGCUCAAGUGGUAGAGCGCAUGCUUAGCAUACACAAGGUCCUGGGUUCAAUCCCCAGUGCCUCCU
rnacentral:tRNA from 1 species